rnacentral:rRNA from 1 species
GAUGAACGCUAGCGGCAGGCUUAACACAUGCAAGUCGAGGGGUAUUUAUCUUCGGAUAGAGAGACCGGCGCACGGGUGCGUAACGCGUAUGCAAUCUACCUUUUACAGAGGGAUAGCCCAGAGAAAUUUGGAUUAAUACCUCAUAGUAUAUAGACUCGGCAUCGAGAUUAUAUUAAAGUCACAACGGUAAAAGAUGAGCAUGCGUCCCAUUAGCUAGUUGGUAAGGUAACGGCUUACCAAGGCUACGAUGGGUAGGGGUCCUGAGAGGGAGAUCCCCCACACUGGUACUGAGACACGGACCAGACUCCUACGGGAGGCAGCAGUGAGGAAUAUUGGACAAUGGGCGCAAGCCUGAUCCAGCCAUGCCGCGUGCAGGAUGACGGUCCUAUGGAUUGUAAACUGCUUUUAUACGAGAAGAAACACUGCUACGUGUAGCAGCUUGACGGUAUCGGAAGAAUAAGGAUCGGCUAACUCCGUG